UUCCUGGCAGAUUAAAACUGUGUGCCGGACAGAGACUCGAACUCGGGAGUUAGAGUCUCGGUCCGGCACACAGUUUUAAUCUGCCAGGAAGUUUCAGCAAUACCUAAUUUUAUAUGCUCCUCAGCGUUCGUUUCAAGAUGCGAUACUGUUUUAGUUAUGCAUACAGUUGGCUCUAGCAGUUACUACGUAACAAAAUUU